rnacentral:rRNA from 1 species
GGGAAUAUUGGACAAUGGGCGAAAGCCUGAUCCAGCAACGCCGCGUGGAGGAUGAAGGCCUUCGGGUUGUAAACUCCUGUCAGGUGGGACGAAAAGGCUUCGGCGAAUACCCGGAGCCUCUGACGGUACUACC